rnacentral:rRNA from 1 species
UACGUAGGUGGCAAGCGUUACUCGGAAUUACUAGGCGUAAAGCGCAGGUAGGCGGUUGGGCAAGUCCGUAAUGAAAUCUCCCGGCUUAACUGGGAGGGGUUUAGGGAUACUGCCCGACUUGAAUGUGGGAGAGGUAACUGGAAUUCCUGGUGUAGCGGUGAAAUGCGUAGAGAUCAGGAGGAACACCUAUGGCGAAAGCAGGUUACUGGACCAAUAUUGACGCUGAGCUGCGAAAGCUAGGGGAGCAAACAGG